GAACACAUGAGGCCCACCCACCACGUCAACAUCAGAAAGCAAAUCGGGAAAACAAGUCAAACUAUAGACUUUCUGUACCUUUUUGGGAUUUUAAUCAUAUUUUUAUUACUUUCAAGUUACUUCUAAAUUCCGAAAGGUAAAAAGCUUUUGACUCCCCCAAUUUGUAGUUUAUUGCUAUGUAUUUAUGAUUAAUUAGUGUAAAUUAAUUUUUUUUACCGUAUUUUAUAAUAUUCGAUACGUAUCUCGAUACGAUAUGAAAAAUCAUAAAACCGAUACACGAUACGUAUCCCAAUUUGAAAGCCUUGGUUGAGAUCUAGCUGAUUUUCUGACCUAGAUACUCACAGACUGGUUAUGAUGAAUUGAUGAACUGCUUAGUUCUUUGUUUGAUUGGAAAGAAAAUAGAACAUAAAAUUUUGAUCUUGGUUUGUCAAAAAGUGAAAAAAAAAAAAAAAAAACCCCCAAAUAUUGUGCCGAUGCCAUAGACCACGGAAGUGACGGAGACCAUGGCUAGCUCGUGGAGGAGGAGGGCCGCUGGAGAUUGUGGCUGAGACAACUGAGAAAUUUCGUGGCCAAAAGUUUACUUUUAUCCCCCUGUGAUUAGAUGAGUUUCUUAUUCUCUGCUGGACUUCUGUACGAGAUCAACAAGCUUUAAGGGAUGACGCUUAUCUAAAACAAGAAGGCACUGAGGAACAUGUUGAAGAUUUUGUUGCAUUUUCCGCAGAUUUGAGUUUGACCCUUUGAAACAUUAAAUGUGAGUUGUUUUUUUACAUUGAGCAAUUAAAACAUCUACAACACUCACGGGACAAACAGUAACUCGUUGAAGUAAGUUUUUGAUUGGAGAAUGUUGAUGCAAUUAGACAUGGCCCAUCUAAUUUCUGACUUGAUGCAUACCAAAUUGUGUGGUAGUAUGUAGAGAUUUGAAUGCAUGGUUGCAUAUGUUGUUUCUGA